GAUUGUUUUAACGGCCGCAGUAUCCUAGACUGUGCAAAGGUAGCAUAAUCAUUUGUCCUUUAAUUGGGGGCUGGAAUGAAGGGAAUCACGAGGUUUUAGCUGUCUCUUUUUUUAUUGUGGAAUUUGCUGUUUUUGUGAAGAAGCAAAAAUGUCAAAAAAAGACAAGAAGACCCUGUUAAGCUUGACUUAUAUGGUUUUAUUUUUUGUAGUUAUUUAAGUAUAGAAAUGUAAGAAUAUGGGUUUUGUUGGGGUGACAAAAAAAGAAAGAAAUCUUUUUUUUUUUUUGAGACUGAGUGUUAAAGAGAGGGCCAAAAGAUUUUUGAGAGAAAGAAUAAGUUACUACAGGGAUAACAGCGUAAUUUUUUCUGAGAGUUCUUAUUGAAGAAAAGGAUUGCGACCUCC
rnacentral:rRNA from 1 species